CCCUUAGAUGUUCUGGGCUGCACGCGCGCUACACUGAUGCAUUCAACGAGUUUCUUCCUGGUCCGAGAGGAAUGGGUAACCUUUUGAAAGUGCAUCGUGAUAGGGAUAGACUAUUGCAAUUAUUGGUCUUCAACGAGGAAUUCCUAGUAGACGUAGUUCAUCAGACUGCAUCGAUUACGUCCCUACCCUUUGUACACACCGCCCGUCGCUCCUACCGAUUGAAUGCUCAGGUGAGCCAUUCGGACUUUCAUCAUGCUGGUUUCCAGUUUUGAUGAAGGAAAGUCUUGCGAACCUUAUCAUUUAGAGGAAGGAGAAGUCGUAACA
rnacentral:rRNA from 1 species